GAUGAACGCUGGCGGCGUGCCUAAUACAUGCGAGUCGAGCGAACAGACGAGGAGCUUGCUCCUUUGACGUUAGCGGCGGACGGGUGAGUAACACGUAGGUAACCUCCCUAUCAGACUGGGAUAACUUCGGGAAACCGGCGCUAAUACCGGAUAAUAUUUCGAACCGCAUGGUUCGAUAGUGAAAGAUGGCUUUGCUAUCACUUAUAGAUGGACCUGCGCCGUAUUAGCUAGUUGGUAAGGUAACGGCUUACCAAGGCAACGAUACGUAGCCGACCUGAGAGGGUGAUCGGCCACACUGGAACUGAGACACGGUCCAGACUCCUACGGGAGGCAGCAGUAGGGAAUCUUCCGCAAUGGGCGAAAGCCUGACGGAGCAACGCCGCGUGAGUGAUGAAGGUCUUCGGAUCGUAAAACUCUGUUAUUAGGGAAGAACAAACGUGUAAGGAACUGUGCACGUCUUGACGGUACCUAAUCAGAAAGCCACGGCUAACUACGUG
rnacentral:rRNA from 1 species